rnacentral:rRNA from 1 species
GACGAACGCUGGCGGCGUGCUUAACACAUGCAGGUCGAACGGAAAGGCCCUGCUUUUGUGGGGUGCUCGAGUGGCGAACGGGUGAGUAACACGUGAGUAACCUGCCCUUGACUUUGGGAUAACUUCAGGAAACUGGGGCUAAUACCGGAUAGGAGCUCCUGCUGCAUGGUGGGGGUUGGAAAGUUUCGGCGGUUGGGGAUGGACUCGCGGCUUAUCAGCUUGUUGGUGGGGUAGUGGCUCACCAAGGCUUUGACGGGUAGCCGGCCUGAGAGGGUGACCGGCCACAUUGGGACUGAGAUACGGCCCAGACUCCUACGGGAGGCAGCAGUGGGGAAUAUUGCACAAUGGGCGGAAGCCUGAUGCAGCAACGCCGCGUGCGGGAUGACGGCCUUCGGGUUGUAAACCGCUUUCGCCUGUGACGAAGCGUGAGUGACGGUAAUGGGUAAAGAAGCACCGGCUAACUACGUG